CAUUCCGCGCGGAGGCACCAUGCUCGCCCCAGACAGGUCAGACUUACCACUGAAUUUAUGUGUGAACGACGCACUGAGAGGCAGAGUGAGAAGAUUCGCCAUGUUCCUGCUGCUCUAUGGACAGGAGGUGAUCGAGCGGCCCGCCCCCUGGUGACACGGCCGUGGAGCGCCAGGGGCCGGGCACCGUGAGCACCGAACCUGCCGGACUGUACCGUUGACGACCU